rnacentral:misc_RNA from 1 species
UCCGGUUUUUCACCGGCAGUCUCCCGCGAGUCCCCAACUCAAUGCUGGCAACACGGGAUAAGGGUUGCGCUCGUUGCGGGACUUAACCCAACAUCUCACGACACGAGCUGACGACAGCCAUGCACCACCUGUCACCCAGUCCGAAGAGGGCCCCAUCUCUGAGGCUUUCCGGGUGAUGUCAAACCCAGGUAAGGUUCUUCGCGUUGCAUCGAAUUAAACCACAUACUCCACCGCUUGUGCGGGCCCCCGUCAAUUCCUUUGAGUUUCAGUCUUGCGACCGUACUCCCCAGGCGGCGAACUUAACGCGUUAGCUUCGAUACUGCGUGCCAAAUUGCACCCAACAUCCAGUUCGCAUCGUUUAGGGCGUGGACUAC